AGGGUUUGAUUAUGGCUCAGGACGAACGCUGGCGGCAUGCCUAACACAUGCAAGUCGAACGGAGACUAUUUCGGUAGUCUUAGUGGCGAACGGGUGAGUAACGCGUGGGCAACCUGCCCUCUAGAUGGGGACAACAUCCCGAAAGGGGUGCUAAUACCGAAUGUGACGGUUUAUCCGCAUGGACGAACCGUGAAAGAUGGCCUCUACAUGUAAGCUAUCGCUAGAGGAUGGGCCUGCGUCUGAUUAGCUAGUUGGUAGGGUAACGGCCUACCAAGGCGACGAUCAGUAGCCGGUCUGAGAGGAUGAACGGCCACAUUGGGACUGAGACACGGCCCAG
rnacentral:rRNA from 1 species